ACAGUAAGGUCAUUUUGAUGGUAUUAUGUAUUCAUACACUUGUAAGUUAAAAUGGAGGGAUUUUUCAAAAAAUAUCAGCAAAGAAUAUUAGAAAAGAGCCACCUGGCAAGAAAUAACAAAUGUCUUAUAUGGGAUCAGGGGACAACAAAAGAUGGAAAAUAUGGGCUUAUUUCUUUCCAGUAUCAUAUUUCUGGGACCUGGAAAAAGAAAAAAGCCCAUAGAUUCAGUUUUAUGGUUUUUAAUUAGUUUUAAUAUUAAAUACAACACUUUAUGCCAUUUUAUGUGUCAAAAAAGUUUGUGUGGGAAUGCGGGUCACAUUACUGAAGAGCUGCAUCACAUAAAUAACCACAGAAUAUUUCGUAAACUCAGAAAAUCUUGCCAGGGGCUCUCCAAUUUUCCAGAUUGGGGCCUGGAUUUUUUUGGAAGAUAUAUAAGGGGUAGGGCUAUAGCUUAUAUAAACAAUUUUAACUGAAUGUACAACAAUUUUAGACUCCUUUUUAAAGAUUUUGGUGGUCCUUAAAAGGACCGUUAAUUUUGUCUGUAUCUUUUUCAGCAGUAGAUGAAUGCAGCUAUAUCUUCCUUUGAUUUUGGAACUUUUGAAGAACAGCUUCUGGCUGAUGUAAUGACAAUGAUUUCAUGGUGUUGGGAGUAAGAAUUGGAGAUCUGAUACUGCUAACAUGUUGGUUAGCAUCACAGCUUGUCCAUAGGGAUACUGGCUGGGGUAGCAUUUGGAUCUGUUUCAAGGUGUGUUCCUGCUGCUGCCUUGUGUGUUCAAUCCUGUGGACAAUAAUAAUCAUGCAAACCACAUAUAUGUUGCAUUUUUGUUUAUUAAAAUCCUUAAGUGAUAAUUCUGAAAGCCAAAUGAUUAAUUUUUUAAUGCUAUUAUUUAUUUUCCAUUUACUGUAAACUCACAAAUUUUUGUUUUUAAUGCUGUUAUUUAUUUUCCAAUUAUUGAAAAUUCACAGAUUUUUGAUAUAUUUUUUUUACUGAAAAUUGCUACACCGAGAUAGAUUUUGCAAAAAUAAAAUUAUAUUUUAAAUUUUGAUAGCAUUAUUUAUUUGCAACAUGUCCUUAAUGACAAUAAUUAAUUUAAAUAAAUGCUUGCAAAUUUUUUUUGAAUUUACAGUAUAAAUAUGUUUUCAUUAUUUAU